rnacentral:rRNA from 1 species
GAUGAACGCUGGCGGCGUGCCUAAUACAUGCAAGUCGAGCGAACGGACGAGAAGCUUGCUUCUCUGAUGUUAGCGGCGGACGGGUGAGUAACACGUGGAUAACCUACCUAUAAGACUGGGAUAACUUCGGGAAACCGGAGCUAAUACCGGAUAAUAUUUUGAACCGCAUGGUUCAAAAGUGAAAGACGGUCUUGCUGUCACUUAUAGAUGGAUCCGCGCUGCAUUAGCUAGUUGGUAAGGUAACGGCUUACCAAGGCAACGAUGCAUAGCCGACCUGAGAGGGUGAUCGGCCACACUGGAACUGAGACACGGUCCAGACUCCUAAGGGAGGCAGCAGUAGGGAAUAUUCCGAAAUGGGCGAAAGCCUGACGGAGCAACGCCGCGUGAGUGAUGAAGGUCUUCGGAUCGUAAAACUCUGUUAUUAGGGAAGAACAUAUGUGUAAGUAACUGUGCACAUCUUGACGGUACCUAAUCAGAAAGCCACGGCUAACUACGUG